rnacentral:rRNA from 1 species
GACGAACGCUGGCGGCGUGCUUAACACAUGCAAGUCGAACGAAGUGGCGAACGGGUGAGUAACGCGUAAUCAACCUGCCCAUCAGAGGGGGACAACAGGUGGAAACGACUGCUAAUACCGCAUACUGAAGGAGGGGCAUUCGUCGGAUUAGCUAGUUGGAGGGGGAACGGCCCACCAAGGCGAUGAUCCGUAGGCGGUGUUGGAGGAUGAACGGCCACCUUGGGCCUGAGACACGGCCCAGACUCCUACGGGAGGCAGCAGUGGGGAAUCUUCCGACAUGGACGUAAGUCUGACUGAGCAACGCAGCGUGAGUGAUGACGGCCUUCGGGUUGUCAAGCUAUGUUAAUCGGGACGCGGUACCGGAAGAGAAAGCCACGGCUAACUACGUGCCAGCAGCCGCGGUAAUUC